rnacentral:rRNA from 1 species
GACGAACGCUGGCGGCGUGCCUAAUACAUGCAAGUAGAACGCACAGUUUAUACCGUAGCUUGCUACACCAUAGACUGUGAGUUGCGAACGGGUGAGUAACGCGUAGGUAACCUGCCUGGUAGCGGGGGAUAACUAUUGGAAACGAUAGCUAAUACCGCAUAAUACUAAUUAUUGCAUGAUAAUUAAUUGAAAGGUGCAAUUGCACCACUACCAGAUGGACCUGCGUUGUAUUAGCUAGUAGGUGAGGUAACGGCUCACCUAGGCGACGAUACAUAGCCGACCUGAGAGGGUGAUCGGCCACACUGGGACUGAGACACGGCCCAGACUCCUACGGGAGGCAGCAGUAGGGAAUCUUCGGCAAUGGACGAAAGUCUGACCGAGCAACGCCGCGUGAGUGAAGAA